rnacentral:rRNA from 1 species
UCGAAUACUAAUCGAAAAAUAAACGACCCGUGAACGAGUGAUCACACAUGCGGUUUGUGCGGACCUUAACCGGUUUUCACACUCUGCUGACUCCUAGAGUCAUGUGUAGUCCAUUGAGUACACUCAUUAGCCGAUAUGGUUCCGUCGGAAAUCACCAAACCCGGGCGCGAAAAGCGCCAAGGCCAUACAACGAAACAGCUCACUCCAAACGCAACCUAUUAGGUUGGAAUUUGGGUGUGUUGCUGAGUUCCUAAGUCUAAAACGACUCUCGGCAACGGAUAUCUCGGCUCUCGCAUCGAUGAAGAACGUAGCGAAAUGCGAUACUUGGUGUGAAUUGCAGAAUCCCGUGAACCAUCGAGUCUUUGAACGCAAGUUGCGCCCCAAGCCGUCAGGCUGAGGGCACGCUUGCCUGGGUGUCACGCAUCGUCUUCUCACCCACCCCGUCGAAGGGUGAUUACAGAGAAGGAGAUUGGUCUCCCGCGUGUUACCGCACACGGUUGGCCUAAAUCUGAGACAUGGGGGCGUGUGGCUUCCUGACAAGCGGUGGUGUAAAAGAUGCCUCGUUGAAAUGUCGGGUUGCUUCCGCCCCAAGGAACUCUAGGAUCCUCUCGGUGUUGCCUUGGCGACCCUCGAACGCGACCCCAGGCAAGCGGA